GACCUGCGGAAGGUCAUUACUGAAAUGUAAUAACUUCUAUUGAAAGGUUCCAGAGUAGGCGCUACAACGCCGAAAUGACCUUCUCACCCUUGUGUACUCACUAUGUUGCUUUGGCGGGUCGACCUGGUUCCGACCCAGGCGGCCGGCGCCCCCAGCCUUAACUGGCCAGGACGCCCGGCUAAGUGCCCGCCAGUAUACAAAACUCAAGAAUUCAUUUUGUGAAGUCCUGAUAUAUCAUUUAAUUGAUUAAAACUUUCAACAACGGAUCUCUUGGUUCUGGCAUCGAUGAAGAACGCAGCGAAAUGCGAUAAGUAAUGUGAAUUGCAGAAUUCAGUGAAUCAUCGAAUCUUUGAACGCACAUUGCGCCCUCUGGUAUUCCGGAGGGCAUGCCUGUUCGAGCGUCAUUUCAACCCUCAAGCUCUGCUUGGUAUUGGGCAACGUCCGCUGCCGGACGUGCCUUGAAGACCUCGGCGACGGCGUCCUAGCCUCGAGCGUAGUAGUAAAAUAUCUCGCUUUGGAGUGCUGGGCGACGGCCGCCGGACAAUCGACCUUCGGUCUAUUUUUCCAAGGUUGACCUCGGAUCAGGUAGGGAUACCCGCUGAACUUAAGCAUAUCAAUAAGCGGAGGAAAAGAAACCAACAGGGAUUGCCUUAGUAACGGCGAGUGAAGCGGCAAUAGCUCAAAUUUGAAAGCUGGCGUCUUCGACGUCCGCGUUGUAAUUUGUAGAGGAUGCUUCGGCGAAGACUCCUGCCUAAGUCCCCUGGAACGGGGCGUCAUAGAGGGUGAGAAUCCCGUAUGUGGCGGGCAGUCUAAGCCAUGUGAAGCUCCUUCGACGAGUCGAGUUGUUUGGGAAUGCAGCUCUAAAUGGGAGGUAAAUUUCUUCUAAAGCUAAAUAUUGGCCAGAGACCGAUAGCGCACAAGUAGAGUGAUCGAAAGAUGAAAAGCACUUUGGAAAGAGAGUUAAAAAGUACGUGAAAUUGUUGAAAGGGAAGCGCUUGCAACCAGACUCGCUCGUAGUUGCUCAGCCGGCCUCUUGGCCGGUGUACUCUUCUACGAUCGGGCCAGCAUCAGUUCGGGCGGCAGGAUAAAGGUGUCGGGAAUGUAGCACCCUUCGGGGUGUGUUAUAGCCCGGCGCGGAAUGCUGCCAGCCUGGACUGAGGAUCUCGCUUCGGCAAGGAUGCGGC
rnacentral:rRNA from 1 species